AAUGAACGUUGGCGGCGUGGAUUAGGCAUGCAAGUCGAGCGCGAACCCGCAAGGGGGAGAGCGGCGAACGGCGUAGUAAUGGAUCGGAACGUACCCUUCGGACGGGGAUAGCUACGGGAAACUGUAGGUAAUACCCGAUAACAUCUGCGGAUCAAAGGUGAGAUUCCGCCGGAGGAGCGGCUGAUUUGAUAUUAGCUAGUUGGUGGGGUAAAGGCCUACCAAGGCGAUGAUGUCUAGGGGGUGUGAGAGCAUGGCCCCCACGACCGGAACUGAGAUACUGCCCGGACACCUACGGGUGGCUGCAGUCGAGAAUCUUCCGCAAUGGACGAAAGUCUGACGGAGCGACGCCGCGUGCGGGAUGAAGGCCCUUGGGUUGUAAACCGCUGUCAGAGGGGAUGAAAUCUUCGGAGGUCCUCCUCCGAAGUUGACAGAGCCUCAAAGGAAGCACGGGCUAAGUACGUGCCAGCCGCCGCGGUAA
rnacentral:rRNA from 1 species